rnacentral:rRNA from 1 species
GUGGGGAAUCUUGCGCAAUGGGCGAAAGCCUGACGCAGCGACGCCGCGUGAGGGAAGAAGGCCUUCGGGUUGUAAACCUCUUUCAGGAGGGACGAAGCUACUCGGGUGAAUAGCCCAGAGGGUGACGGUACCUCCAGAAGAAGCCCCGGCUAACUACGUGCCAGCAGCCGCGGUAAUACGUAGGGGGCAAGCGUUGUCCGGAUUUACUGGGCGUAAAGCGCGUGUAGGCGGCUACGCAGGUCCGUUGUGAAAACUGAAGGCUUAACCUUCAGACGUCGACGUAAACCGCGUGGCUAGAGUCCGGAAGAGGAGAGUGGAAUUCCUGGUGUAGCGGUGAAAUGCGCAGAUAUCAGGAAGAACACCAAUGGCGAAGGCAGCUCUCUGGGACGGUACUGACGCUGAGACGCGAAAGCGUGGGGAGCGAACAGGAUUAGAAACCCCGGUAGUCC